GGAGCGGAGCGGAGCGCGGGCGGCGGGCCCGGCCUGCGCCGCGCGGGACGCGCGUCCGGGGACCGACCGCAAAGGGCGCCCGGCACAGGGACACCUUCCACUACACCGGCGUGCUCAAAGCCGCAUGCAGCCUGGCCUUGGAACGCUGCCGGUGAUGGGGCAUCCACGGCUGCUCUGGCAACCUGUGCCUCAGCACCCUCACAGGGAAGGAUUUCUUCCAAGUAUCAAUUUAAAAUCGGUCCUCUUUCAGUUUUAAAGCCGUUCCCCCUCGGCCUGUCACUACAUGCCUUUGCAAACAGUCCCUCUCCAGCUCUGUCAGGGGCCCCCGUAGGCAGUGGAAAUCCGCUCUGAGGCCUCCCCGGAGCCUCCUGCGGGCUGAGCCCAGCUCUGAGAUCAGUCUGACCGGGUUUCUUUGGAGCAACUCGGCCGCACCCUCUGGUCAGCCCGGCUCUGUCUGUGCCUGUGAUGGGCAGGAGAACUUUUUGGACUCCUCCUCUAGGGAGCUGCAGCCAGACCCUGCCUGCAAGCCAUUUUCCAGAGCAUCCCCCCACCUCCCUUGGCUGUCCAAUGCCUGUGACGGGCUGGGACUCCUGGCAGACAAGACAGUGAACAUCAUGCUUAACUCUCUCCCAAAAGGCUUGAAUGUUAUUACCAAGAUGGAAGCACAUUUAAUAAAAGAAGUGGCAGAACUGGAGAAACUGGCACUGGAUGUGUACUCUGUGCCAACUGAAAUAAAGGAAGUUAUCUCAAAUGCAGAAAGCUCCAAGACAGUCACUGAAUUUCAGAGUCAGAUUGUGGCUACGGAGGGAAAACUUUUGGUUUUGGAACAUGCGGAAUGAGAAGAAUCUGCAUAACAAGAUGACAGAGGAAAGACUGGAAAUGGAUGGUAUUUUUUGAACUAGACCACGUUAGGCAGGUUCCUGGCUGUAGCAAAGGGCUGGCAGCACCCUGAAGAAUGUAAGUGCUGAAAUCUGCUUCUACCAACCUGUUUCUGGGAGCUGCUGCACAUGAUCUGCCACCAUGCUGUAACUGUUGAGCCCAGCCUGUGUCCAAGUGUGCAGCUUAGGUGAAGUUUUUUCAUAUGCCACUGUUGUGAAAGGAAAGAGCCACAUACUAGGAGCUGGCUGCUCCUCAGAGAGGUUUAAAUUUUAUUUCUAAAUUAUUUUUGAGUAAAAGGCAUAAAACUAAUUUUAAAAUAUGAUACUUAACUAAAUGGAACAGGCAGGGGAUAACUAGGAAUUAGGGCACAGAAGGAAACCUAUAUGACAAGGUAAGUUAGUUUUCUGAAGUAUCAUACUGUUACCACUGUGAAAUUAACACCAAGAAAAUUUUCCCGGACUCCUGCUGAGAUGGAAGCCAGGAAGAAGAUAGUUUUAAUCUCAUGGAGAAUUUAUAAUUACAUAGAGAAGCUCAAAAUACAGCUUUUUAGAGCUGCUAAUAAAACACUGGCCUUCUCUGACUCUUUUAAUAAAAAGUACUUUAUGUACUCAAAAAAAGAACCCACCAAACAAUUUAGACAUUAUAUUCAACAGUUUCUUCUGCAGGGUUCUGUUAGCCAUUCUACACUAUUCACCAUUUUCAGUACCUUUACACUGCAGGUCUUGGAGAAAGUAGGGGCCAUGAACCUUCAUCUUGCAAAUAAUCCAGGCUAAAUCACCUUCAGGAAAGUGAGAACUGCAGUUUUAAUUACAUAUAGGCUCCAAUUAACUUUCUGAGGUGGGAGCCCAAGUUCCUUACAAUUUGACCCUUGAAUAAGGAUUCUGUUUGGCAUGAAUGGUCUGUUUUUAUCCCCUCCCACCAGCGUGGAGCUAUAACACAUCCAAGCAGAGGCAUAUGCUUUUUGAGAGAAGCACAGUCUGCAGACUGUAAAAGGUGGCAAGGGUAGCUGCCUGUCAAAUAAGUAAAUGGCUAACAGGGAAAUGGGACACCAGCGAGCCUCAGAAAUCAGUUUUAAGUAUAAGAGUAACCAUUCUGAAAUGCAGCAGCUCCACAGAGCUCACUGCUCCUUCAGAGGCAAAUGCUGCCUCUUCCACAGGGGAACCCACCCAUCUCCAGAAGGGUUUGAGAUGCAGUCCAUUACAGGCAACAUUUUAUCUCCUUGUGUGAACAAUAUCUUUUUCCAUUGUCUUUAGCAUCAAAGAAAGGUUUCUAAGCCUUAGUACCAGUGUAUCAUAUAGGGAAACAUACACAGGAAUUUGAGAGCAGCACACUCAAAAGGUAUCCAGACAAAAAACAGGGAUUUAGAUUCUUUCAUGAGGUGUCAAGGCAAGGAAAAUACAGGUUGUUUAUUUUGUGGAAAAGGAGAGUAAAAAGUGACUGCUAUCUUCUUAAAUUUAGGGCAGUUGAGGAUUAUUACACCUGGUUCUGCUGACAAUGCAGACACAAUUAAUGAAAUUAUUAAUUGGAGUGGGGUUUUUUUGUGCCACUAGAUGGCAGAAACAGCUCUUUUACACUCCUUGAUCACAUUUACACCAUUUUAAAUGUACACUUACAGGACACCUAGGAGCCUAUUUUCACCACUAAGAUGCAGGAUAAAACAAAAAAUCUACCCAAUGACUGUCAGUGCUAAGUAGAUGAAGGUAGUUUUGAAAAAAAUGUUCAGCAAUAUAUAAUUUUUCAAACCAUCUGUUUAUACUGGGUCCUUUUGGUAAAGCUGAGAAGCCUUGUUUCAGAAGAAAUUAAUUUUACUUCCCACUUACACCAAGUGCACAGGAUUUACAAGACUUCCAGCAGUCUGAUGGGAAGCAAAGUGCUAAAAAUUUUCUGCAAAUUGUUCACAAGAGAUGCACAAACAGGUUCACACUGAAUUAAUUGAAAGGAAUAGCUUUUGUAUUUGUGGGGUUCCCAGACAAAGCAAGGAAUGAUGCAUCUGACUGUGUUUUUAGAAGGCUAAUUUAUUAUUUUAUGAUACUAUAUUAUAUUAAAGAAUACUAUACUAAGCUAUACUAAACUAUUCUAAAGAAUACAGAAAGGAUACAGACAGAAGGCUAAAGGACACUAAUGAAAACUUGUGACUCUUUCUAGAGCCUCGACAGAGCUUAGCCCCAACUGGCCAAUAAGUCAAAACAAUUCACAUGAAACCAAUUAAACAAUCACUUGUUGGACAAACAAUUUCCAACCACAUUCCAAAGCAGCAAAACACAGGACAACAAGCAAAUGAGAUAAUACUGUUUUCCUUUUUCUCUGAGGCUACUCAGCUUCCCUCCCAGGAGAAGAAUCGUAGCAAAGGGAUUCCACAAAUAGCAAUCUUCUAUCUGCAGCAAAGAGCUCUGUUUCUACUGGGCUGCAUUUGUUUUUCACACUGUCUCUCAAGGAACAGAAAGAAAGGAGAAAAAAGCUAGCAAAUUUUUGAUCAGUUCCUUGAACACCAUACACUUUUAUGUUUCAGCAUUAAGAGCAUGAGCUGAUCUGCCUGUGUUUUCUAUAUUACACAUUAUGUUACACCACUUCUCUGAUUCACUUCAGGCUCAAACUUAAGUCAUUAAAAAUCUGUUCAGCACAAGAGCUUAACUGCACCAGCACUUCUCCCUCCCUCAUCCAAAGGACGGCACAGCAUCUCUCAAGCUUGCAACAUCCUUGACAAAUGUGCUUCAUUCCCCAGCUGUCACUCCACAGCUCUGCUUCUGCACCUUUCACAAAUCCCUCCUUUCUCCCCCAGGCUAAGAAAGGAAAUAUAUUCCCAUCGCACUCUCACUUUGGUCUCUCUGUUGUCUCUUUUGUACAUCUACCAGCAAGUUAUUUUUCCUGGACACAGAGCAGGCUUAUCUUCUCCCCUUUCCCAGCCAUUUACUUACACUUUACAGAAGCCAUCACUUGCUUUUGUAUCUUCCAAGAGAUAAAAUAGCUAAAAAUUCAAUGUGACAGGUAAGUUUUUCUCCUUAUGCAGUUCCAGUUCAUCUGUCCAUCAGGACAUUCAGAUGAACCAGUUCAUCUGUCCAUCAGGAUUUCGUGUAACAAAGUCUCCUGAGCAGCUGCAGCCUUACCUAUACUCAUAGAACACAUGAAUGUGCAUUAAAUCGUAAAUUCUUCACUAUGUCAGGAGCAAUCUCUGUUGUUAGUCAAGAUAGAUUCAGAAAAUAGUGUCACGCUUUAAGAAUUUUAGGAUGUGCUACCCACUGUCAGAAGUGUUGAGUGUGCAGACUACAUUCCUUUAACAAAUAUGCUAUGCUGACCAGGAGGUUAUCUUUACAAAAAUGCUAACUGGGCAAAACUCCUUUCUCAAAUGACUACUUUUUAUCUAGGAACAGGAUACUGCAGGCCUUCCAGGGGACUCAGCUAAAUCUCAAUGCAAAACAGAGGUCCUGGCCCCAAAAUUAUUAAACCAGUUUUUCCUCACCUUGUGUCUCGUGAUUUGUAUAUAGUCCUGAAAUUCGGGGUACAGACACUCAGGUGCCUGCACCUGAACUUUAUGUAAUAAUGUUUGUAAAAAAGGCAUCUUUGUGAUCAUAAACUGCACACAUACCUCUGUCUUCCUUCACUCAGUCUGCAUUGGACAAACUUACCUUUUCUAGCUUCAUAGACUUUGCUCUGCUUAUUUGGCUGUUUGAUUUGCUUUCUGCUGCUCCUCUCUUUUGCAGCUUACCAAUUUUCCUGGACAAGGUGCAGUAUUGUGAAAUUGUCUGAAUGAUGAACCAGGAGAAAAUUAAAAGGCAGAGAACAGCACUAAUACUCCAAACCUGAGCAUCUCUUUCCAGCCCAAACAAGGGUUAAAAAAGACACUUCCAACUCCUUGCUCAGUGCCUGCUUCCCUGAAGGUGCAAGAUGUCUCACUUCCAUAGAGACAAAUUUUUAAAACUAAAGCCUCUCUCUGAUCAGUGACUCCUGUAUUGACAGUAAAUAAAGCAAAAUGCCAGCUUCACAAGAGAAGAAACUUCAGUAGUGCUUUCAGUGAGGCUGGUGCUGAAAAGGCGCAGCAGCAAAAGGAAGAUUUAUUCCUGUAAAAACCGCUGGAGAACUCAGCUGUCCCACUGCCCCUCAGCAGAUGUGCACAGCAACUCACAGAAAAAGUUUCUACAGUCAAAUAGUCUCCCUUCGAUUGCCGUUAGUGUAACAACAGAAGGCUUACAGGACUGUUUUAGGCUCCCCUGCCAAACCUCACAAAUGCCUUCCACCUCCCUCUCCUCCCAAACAACUAACAGUCAAUAAUAAGGGCCAUACAGUGAGGUUACUCAGCCAACUGCAGCCAUGUUCAGGAACAUGUUUAUCCUGGUGUGGGUGACUUUGGGUUUUUGGCAUUUUUAUCUUGUUUCCAACUGUCAGAGGACAUAAUAAAUAGGAAAGAGUUGGCUCUCUCUGCUGAGGUGGCAAAGAUGAGGCUUCUGCGCCAACUUCCUCAUUGCUAAGCACUGGGGACUCUCCAGCCAGAAACAAGCAAGGACAAUAAUCUGAAGCCUGUACUCCUACCAGGAUCUCUCUCUCCAGCUCAUAUAGGCCUCUGGGCCUUUCAAUCUGCAGCAGUUAUGAAGAUCCUGAAAGAGGUUGGAGGCAAGGUUCUAACAGGCAGAAUUAAGCAAGAACAUUUUCUGAGUAAGCAUUAUCAAAUUAUUUCCAUGUCUGCAACUCAAAGGAUAAUAUUUUCGCUAGGGAACUCUCAAGGAAGAAAACAAAGCCCAUACUUGUUAGAUUACCUUCCCCAUUCUCCAAUACCAUUUCAAAGCAUACCUUGAUAAUCCUGCAUCCUGGUUAGUUGACCUAUGCUUGAACACCUCCAAAACGAAUUCAUCCAUGUACUACUGAAUCCUCACUGUGUUUAUCUUAGAGUAUACAUCCCAUGUUUUGGGGGGACAGGAUGCUUUACACUUGUCUCACAUUUCAGCAAUUGGAACUGCUGAACACCCUAACCUGGAGGAAAAUUGCAGGAAGACACUUUCAAAAUCAAGAGUUCACAAUGAUUUCCCACUCUGCUCUUAACCCAGAAGAAAGCCUGGAGUCCCCUAAACCCCACCAGCCACAGCCCAACACCAUUUCCAUCUCUGUCUGAAUUUUCAAUGUGUGUUGUAGCCUGGUCAAUGAAACCAAGUUGGCUUUGCUAUUCUAUUGUUUACUAUGUGGACAAAUAAUGUCUGAGCCCUUUAGAGCAAGUAAAUGUUAUUUCCAUUACUGUUAUUUGCAUUCUGCUACCCCAAGAAAUUCAGGUUAAUUUUCUAAUGAGCAUUUUGUUUCCUCUACAGAGAUUUGUAGUUACCCAUUGGGUUUAAAUACAGUCAUGAAUGUUGUGUUCUUCCAAUUAGAUUAAAUUUUAGACUUUUUUGGAAACUAACUUUUUUUGAAAGGAACACCAGCAUUCUCACAUAGUCAUACCAUUGUCAAAAGCAGAGGCUCAUCACAGACCAACGGUGGAGCCAACAGCACCAGUAAUCUAGGAUGGUACAAUGGAUCUAGCUCUAGAUUCAGAAGUAAUUACAGCACAGAAUCUAGCUGUAACUAUCUUAGAAUGUCCACCCUCCAAGUUUUAAUGUCUGAAAAUUUGAGAAGUCUGCAAAUAAUGAGAAUUGCAAAGAAAUUAGACAAGUUGAAAUGAAGACAGACAAAAGUAUUUUUUUAUAUAAAAAUGGUCUUUAUUUCUUCAAUACAAGGUUAACUACUAUUGCAGUUUAAGACCAACACAAAAGUUGGACAGCAAAUUGCUUAACAGUCUCCUAAAGGCUGAAAAAAAGAAACCUAUGAAAGCUAAAAGUUGUGCAAUAUUUCAAGUAUAACAUCUAAAAAAAUGAAAUUAUCCCUAAAUUUACAGAUUAUUUAAGUACCUCUGCUGAAAAUGUAUUGAAAUCCACAUUUGCUAGGAUACCAGCUUACCUUGUGGAGAAAUAGAGGUCUCCAAAAACUGCAGUAUUCACAGACUCUUUGGCCUGCCAGCAUCAGGGAACUGUUUACUAUAUAUAUAAAAUCCUUUGGAGUCAGGCAUUCUGACAGGCAUCCAUUUCCCUACAUUUUGCAUUGCAAUUCUGCAUUCCAACUUGGACAACCCCCCUCCUGUAUUUCAAACCAUUUCUUGAAUAUUUACUCAUAUAUCCUUGUGCAAAGCGGGAACCAGGAAAUGGAAUGGUACAGGAAGACAACACAGCCUUUUGUUUAGAAAGUCAGCAGUGCUGGUAUUCAUCAUAAAAAUGUUACAGUUUACCAAAUAGGAAUGUAUUUCACCUUCAAAACAUUGGCUUUUUUUUUCCUUUCUUUAUUAUUUUAAAAAAGGACAACUGCAGUAGUAAGGAAUAUGAAUUUGCAACCACUUAUAUUUAUAAAAGCACACACAUUCCUCAUUUUCUUCCAUCUGAAGAUCAAAGGAAUGUCUGUUUCAUAAUGUGAUAAUAUGCACAGUUUAAAAUAUUUUCUAUUACAAAAUACUGUGUACAAGAGGGUGAGGCUGAAGUCUAUUGAAUAUACUCUAAAGUGUUAUUUCUGAAAUCAUGUAAAAAUCACAUUACAUGGUAUGAAUAGAUAGGAAUUUUUACAACCUAAAUGCUCCAUUCCAUCAGGAUCAAAGGUAUAUGUUUACUAUUUUCAAGAUAGUGUGUAUCUAUCUUGUGUAAAUUUAGUGUAUUUUGAAGAUUUAAGCACAGACAUAUGCAUCAUCCCAGAACCCACUGCAAUCACUGGGGCUACAGAAUGGGUUCAUAAAUUAACAAAUGUAUCAUACAUAAAUGGAAUAAGGAGCUUUAUUGUAUUUCUUCCAACACGGGGGGGAAAAAAAAUCCCACAAGAACAUCAAAGUGAUGAGCUUCUAUAUCCCAAACUGCUCCUUAGUAAAUUUAUCCUCUAUAGGUAAAUCGAAAUCUAAAAAUACAUGGGAUGUCAGACCUUAAUAGGGUAUGGGAAAGAAAAGGGAGGAAGGCAAAACAACUACAAAAUUAAAAAAACCACAACUCAACACCCCCAUACAUCCCAAGCUAGUCUGAAGUAUUAAUUGCAAGGCAUCAUAAUUGCAAGAGACAGUAUUUCUGCAUAAACGUCAUGAUUCAUCAGCAUGCUGCAACCAUUAUAUUCAAGACCUGUGCAGUCAAUUACCAAAAUAAUAUGAAUCUCAACUGAAUCCACAUUGCUUCUUUUCUGUGUUACAAUUCUUAUUUUGGAAAUUAGUUCGUAUUUUUAUGUGGACAUUGACCUGCACUUUCCUUCUCUAAAAUCCUGAAGGGUUUGCAUUUCAAUACAGAAGCAAUUUAGUGUUUCAGAUCUCUGCAGAGUACCAGUCCUAAACGUGCAUGUUUUAGAUUUAAAUCUACAUGACUGACAAUAUCUUAACGAGCAUUAUAUUAGGAAAUUUAAGGCUGUAUCUCAGUUCACACAAGAACCAAAGACAAUUUUAACAGGCUAUGUAUAAAAUUCUAUAAAUAGAAAUGGGAGCAAUGUCUGUUUAACCUGUACAGAAAGAGCAAGUGGAUAAGGAAAGAAAAUCAGGAAUUAAGUAUUUCUACAAAGAAUGCCAUGUAUUUUACUAGAAACACAGAUGACAAGUAUAUACAACACUGAAAUCUCCAAUUAUCCACACACAACUAGGAAAAAAACAUUUACAAGGGUUUGGGUAUGCAACUAAACAAUCAGGUAAAAAAAUACAGUUAGAAAAACUAAGCCUCACCAAUUUCAAAGAAACAAAACCACAAAGUACUCAGUCCAUAAAGAAAAAAGCUAAAGUCUAAAUUUAAUAAAAAUAUCUUGUUUAACACAAAAAACAACAGCUAUCCAAGCUUAUAAGCCACACUGUAAAUAAAAAUCUGAAGUUCUGACAAACAUUUUCCAAAAUGUCAUCAGAACAAAAAAUAUUGGCACAGAAAGGGAAAAAAAGAAGACUGUACAGUUUCCAAAAUGCUAUGUUCUUCUUCUUAAUUACUUUGACCUGUCAAAAUGUAUAGUCCUGUAAAAAUUUUACUUUAAAAAAACCACCCUCUACUUCUAAAAAACAAAUCACCAAAACAAGUUCUGUUGGUAAAGCACGACCACCCCUAAGUCACUACUUGUUAGUUUUGUCUUUCAAGAUAAAGGACAUAGCCUUAAGAUAAUAUUUUCAAUGUUACUUAGAAACUCAAUAUUUGAAAAAAAUUAAGUAUUUCUUCACAGAUUAUUUAAUCCUUUCAUCAGCAAAAGGAAAUGAAAUACAACUGAAUGAAUAUUAAACAGCAGUAGCCAUCAUGGCAUCACCACCAGUCAGCAAGUUUCCAAACUGCCAUUUCCUGUAUGUGUACAGGAAAUUGAAGGAACCUUUAGUAAACGAAGACUUGGUAAAAAUUCUACUACAGAUCCAGUUACACAUGAUGUACAUUAGGCAUAUUCCUUUUUGGUGCUUAUCAGGGUCUUUGGAUUUUUCUGAAUAUUUUUUUGUUUUAUAAAAAAAAAAUUAACAAAGGAAGCGCACAACAAUGAGAGUAUUGCCUAAAUUGCAACACAGUACAUUUAUCGGUUAAAACUAAGAAUCUGGAGAACAGGCAGAAAUAAUGGGCUUCGUACAGGGAUCUCAUUUCUCAGGUCACAAUGGCCACUCUGUUUAACUUAUGUUAUUUACCCUCUGCUAUUCUCUCCCUGCUAUUUCCAUUGCCAGCAAUGGAAAUAUGUGAGAAAUGACAAUCUAUGUAAAAAGAGCAACAGUCUCAAAUCUAUUUCACUGUGGACUAAAAUAUCAGUUCCUACAUAAAAUGCUUGUAACGUUACUUUAUUUUAAAAUUUAAUAUAUCUACGCAAUGGAACAUUACUUACCUGCUGCUUUUCCAGUAUUAGCUAUUCCCCAUUUUACUGCUAUAGGCAGGUAAUUUCUUCCUUAAACUUAUUACACACAGUAGUAAACAAUGUUUUUAAGUAAAAAAAAGAAGUUACAACAGUACUGUUUGUAACCAAUACCUAUUCACAAAGAAAGCAAGAAGUGAUUCAUGACUUGCUUGAUACAACUUUCAGUUUUACAAAAUUUUUAAAGGCAGUUUUCAUUUUCAAACAGGAUUAAACAAACACGUGAAAUAUCUUCUCAGAAGCAAAUAGUUCAAUAAACACCAGUGAUCCCAUGCAUGAGGAACUGAGGUACACAAUUUAAGAAAAAAAGAAAAAGGGGCGAGUCUGAAGCUGUAGCCAAGUCCAAAAGCAUCAACCUGGCUGCAGGAAACCUGGUUCAAUAGUAGGUGCCAAAAAUAUUAGAGCAUUUCAGGCUUAUGCAAAACUUUUGCAGUUGCACAAGCUACUGGUCCCAACUCAGUAAAGCAUAAAAAUCACUCACAUAUGCAACACUUAAAGCAUAUGUUUACAUUUCCUGAAAUCUAUUAAAUGUAAGCACAUGCUUUAUAUGCUCUGGAAAAAAAACAGAUUUAAAUGCUUUCCUGAACAGGGUAACAUUUUAAGUCAGCUGUAAAAUCUUCAAAAUUGGUAAAAAAGAAAUUAAGAGGCUUCUAAGAGUUGCCUCUUAAAGCCAUCUGAGGUCUUGAAACUUAACUUAAAACAUUAAGUGCAGCUAUUUGAACGAGUGACAACUCCAAGAGUGUGUCUGUUACAUAACACUUUACAAUAGACUAAAAGUGAGCCUUUGUGCAAGGCUGAUGGAAAUGAAGCUUUUGCAGCUUUUAUGAAAUUUGUUUGCUGGCAUUUCACACUUGAUGAAAUUUAAAACAAAUUCUUUAAUUUGACGCCUACUUUCACUGAGUGCUCCAAUAAUUUGUUUUUAGGUAAAUUUACAAAACCUCAUCUGACAAAUUUAAUCAGUGCCAUUUUUUGCUGAGACAUUUUAAAUAUUGCCCACUGGUGAACAAGGACAUACAAACGUACCUUCUCUUUUAUAAGCAUGUGUGAAUAAACCCCAAAGUAUUAAGAAAAUACCAAACCCAUGAAGUCAUAAAAAUGGUAACAUCUUGUUUGUUCUGGCAUUUCUAAUAUACAACUAUGUACAGACUGCUACGGCCUUGGGGGUGGACAGGGAACACACACAAGCACUAUUACUAUAAAACUGUAAACAACUGCAGGAUUUUGGGUGUUUUAAACCUAACCUUUCUACCCCUUAUUAUGGGCAGUUUAAGUUCAUAUGAACAGUUUAAGUUUAUAUUAACUGUAGUGUCAAUCAGGAUCAAGGCUGUAUGAGAUAAAAUUUUCAGUGUGCUAAAAAUCGCAGACCUGGGACUAUCUCUCCUCAGAACAACUGACCACAGAGAGCUGCAGUUUUUACAGUUUUAUAAGUCAAUUAGCAAAUUCACAAGCCACCUAGGUAAACACUGCUAAAAAGCAAAACAGAAUUAAAGGUUUCUCAUAACCACCUAUUUUUGUAUCAAAAUUGAGUGGGAGAGCGCAACAUUAGUAUGUUUAACUCGCUGAAUCCAAGAUUAGGUUGAGGCAUAGGCAAGAACUAUUGCGAUGUUUCUGAAGACAGCAUCAAUGUUUUCAUUGUAACAUUAUCCUUAAAUAUUGCUGAACACAUGACUUUCCCUGAGGUGUAAACAUCAAAUAACUUGAACAGCUUUACACAUCAGCCCCAUUAAACAGUUUAUUACAACACUACAUCUACUGUAAUCAGUGGUGCUGUGUACAGACAUUAUAUGAACAGUUUAACAUGAACAAACUACUAUAAAAACAAGCAUUUACUUGACUUUUUUCAAUUGCUUGCACAUUAUAAUUGCCAAAUGUAUAUAACCAGUAAUAAAGUUGCAAAAGCUAUAAGGUUUAAAUCACACAGGUUUCCCUCAAAUAAAACAGUUAAGCAACAUAAAAAAGUAAAAGAGCUACUGGUUACCAUGUAUGCAGAUUUGCUUUAUUCAGAUCUAUUCCUGUUCAUAUUAUCCAUGAAUCCUUACAGGCUCAGUUCAAUCACAUGAAGCAAACUGCCGGACAAGCAUCUUUCCUUGAAGAAUGUAUCUUGUCUUGCACGCUGUUCCUCUUCCUUCAGCUGUAAUGUGUCAAAAUUUGUGAUGUAGAUUUUGCUAGUCCCCAAAACACACAGAAAAUUGUUGGCUUAUCUAUACAUACACAACUCGUGCAUCUACUUCACCGUGAUGUUAACUAACAUAAAACACCCAGAAGCAGUAGCUACUCACUGAAGUUGUUUUCUAAUACAGUAAUUAAAAAUAACAUUAAUGUUGUUGUACAACAAAGUUGAAAGAAUAUAAACUUCCCAGUUAAAGUAUUGAUGAUAAAGAAAUAACUACUGCUUCUGUGACCAACUGCCAAAUUUGUAUAAAACACUUCCUAAAGUAUGCAUUCUGCAAGAGUAACUGAACAAGAAUUUAAAGUAAUUUUACCACAAUUAGAUUUUUACAUUUUUACCUGCCCACUUACAUAAGUUUUAAGCUGGUUUGACAUUUAAGUAAUUAAUUGAUUAUAUAAUGAAGUGGAUGGCUCACAGCUCAGUAACAUUUAAAAGCACACAGAAUCUGACACCAGUACUUGAAAAGACUAGUGGCAAGCUGGAUGGGUUCACAUCUAAAAAUACAUACUUGCAGUUAUGCACAAGAACCCUCUUUCCAACUAAUACAAUGUAGAUUUGCAGAUUUCCUCACCUACUUGCCCUUGAAAAACCCCGAGUCCUACUUCCUGCUCUCCUCUAUUUUGGCAAAUCAGGGAACCACACAAUUCAAAGUUAAUUACUGUAAGAGUUCACAAAAUACUUGGGGAUGGUAUAAUUCCAUACACUGGAUUUCAGUUGAAUUCCAUUACAAAACAAUUAGCUAUCUUAAUUUCAUUAAUAAUUCACAGUUUCAACAUUCAAUAAUUUCAAAAUAGUUUCAAUCAAGUUGUUUUAAAAACCCAACACAUUAAAUUAUUCAUUUGAAAACCAAGACAUUUAGAGAAGCAAGUUCAUGAACGUGCAACAAUACACAGCUGUCAAAUAGUCUUCUACUAGUACAAUAAUUUCAAAGCUGGGAAAACUAAGUAAGCAAUUUUUCUUCUUCAUUUCCUCAAAGUGACUGUUAACAAUAACUUUUAAAAAUUCCAAAGUAUAACCAAGUAUAACCUAUACACUACAGUAUGCACAUAAACUAAUCCAAAUCAGUGAGUGAAAUUUCUUCUCUUAUUCACAGGUCUUGUUCUCAUGUCCUGAAUGCAUCAACAACUAAUUUUGGGGAAGUUCCUUCCCCAGAGGCCAGUGUUUCCGUGGGAGUUAUGUAUUUUUGAAAUUAAUUACUAGCAAAGUGACAAGGUGCUACCUCCACAAGAAAAACAUGUUUGGAGCUGUAAGCUAAGUUAGCACAGACAGGAGAGAAUCUCAGUUUUCUCGUGGAGAAAGUCAGUACUUGACAGCUGUGACACUGCACAUCAGAAUUUGCUCUCAACACACAAUUGCUGCAGCCAGAAUGAUGGAUCUUGAUUAUGUCUGUGGCAACAAUUAACAGAUCCAAAGUGCCCUAUAUAUGAUUUAAUACUACUAUAAGAAAGCUUCAGUUCCUGGGAAUAAUUUGCUGUAUCUGUACUAAUGGAUCUACAGGAACUCUAAAGAAUGCACAAUAAAGUGAAUUUAGGAUUAAUGCUUUUUGGUAUAGAGCUCUUAAGAUGGUCAGCACCACACUGAGCCUUCAUUUUUUAAAACAUGACCAACUAAAAUCCAAAGUGGAGUACAUUUCAGUUCCAUAUAUUCUGCCACUAUAUCUUGGCAAAAUUGGAAACCCUUGUGGCUCGAAAAUAAAUAAAUCUGUAUGGAUUAUACCUGCAUGUUCAGCUUUUUUCAGUAUUCUACAGGCAAGUAGAAUAUUGAAGCAACAAAAAACUUUUUAAAAAAUUAAAUCUCUAGUAUUUCUUGGCAUCUUUCCAUCUGCCUCAAGCUCAUACAUAAGCUAUCUGUCCCAAGCAUGUGUUAGAUUUGUAUGAUUUAACACCAGACAGCAAUCAGUUUCUCAGCAUUUCUACCAAAAUUUACCAACUCUAUCCAAAUUUCAGACUUAAGUUUUGAAUUGAAAUUUUGUAGUUUAGAAGUUAGGGGUUUAUGCCAGAACAUUUCACAAAUGAAAUCCUAGAACUUGAGUGAUCAAACAUGUCUAUAUUUAUGCAAGAUGCAACUUUUUUACCCACAAAAACACAUUCUUACAACAAAACCCCAGUAGAUUUCUUAUAUAUAUGUAUCAAAAGCAUCUUGCAAUAGCAGCUCUAAUUUUUCCCUUAAUUCCAAUUAUCAAAAGAUUUACAUAAAAGCUUUAAACAGCCUUUAAAAUUUUGAAAAUUCUACAGCAAUUUUAAAGCUGUAUAUACAUAUACCCAUCAAGUUUUACCAUUGUAGUUUAUUUUCAGAGAUUGAAAUUCAAUCUCACAUGUUCACAUUCCAGUAAAAUGCACAAGAUACAUUAGUUAUAUCCUAGAUGCUCCUAUGAAUUAUUUCAUGUAAUUCUCCUUUAUUGUAUUCUAUACAUGAAGAAAAAGGAAUACACAAACCAAAAAUCCCACAGAAAGCACCAGCUUAAAAGCUUAAAAGCCAAAAAUUUCUUUUUAAUUUAACCUACAUUGCAGAACAUCACAAAAUACCCCAAAUAUUCUGAUAUUUUAGCUGUAACAUAGUGAGAAAUAAAGAAUUUCAAGCUUGUCUUUCUAUUUGUCUUUCAGCAUGUAAGCACACAGAUACUCAUGUGGUUCUGUUCACUACACACAUAUGGACUAUUUUACCAGCACUAGCAUCUUCUCACAUUUGCUGCCUGUUCCCCCCUCCUAUUAUGAGCGUACUUACCUGCUGUCUUUGUUCAGUCUUAGUGUAUAAUUUAAGAUCAACACAACAACAAUUUCAUGACUCUUUAUAAAUUAUUUUACAUGGGGGAAAAACCUCCUAAACUAACUUAAUUUGUCAGGUGUCUUUCUUCUAUUACCCUGGCCUGUCUGUUCAUCAAAACUAACUGAUGAACAGAGAGGCACGUUCAGAAAAUUCAAUCUUUAGUUUACAAGUUCAAAAGAUAUUAAUUAUUGGCAAGUAUUUUGCACAUUCAUAUAUGAGCGAGAGACAAAAAGGUAGAUCGAGCUGCCACAGGUAAACAUAAAAAUUAAGAUGUCUCAUGUGUCUCUUUUUAAAAAUUUUUUUUGGUAAAAAGAAAUCUUAGUUCUCAAACCACAAUGAGCAAAAGUAAAAAAGUGCAUUUUGUCAUUCUUUGAAGAACGUUGAUUCAAACCAACAUUUUCACUUCUGUGUUUCAUAUGCCCACAAGUUUCUUGGGGAACUUUUCACACAGAUCAAAUUUGUCAAAACUAUUGAAUUCACAAAUAAAGAAGCCUAGAAUAUGAGGAACAAAAAAAUAUAAAUGUGUCUGCAGACACCUCAGAAGUCAGUAAAAUUACAGCAACAUAUUCAUGGGAAAAAAGUAAUAAAAGUUAUUCAUUUGAAAAUAAGUAGCAUAAGAUAUUCUGUUCAUUUUUUAAAUCCCUGUUUCACACUCAAGAAAAUCAGAUUCAUCACUGAACAUUAACAGACAAACUCCGUUUCUGCAAAGCACCAGAGUAAUGGUCAAAACAGAUUUUAAGAAGCGCAUAAAGCAGUGGCACUGCUUGCCUCUAUUCAUGCUAUGCUGGAUUGCAAAUACUGAAUCAGAUGCACAAAGCAUUAUUUCUCUGGUGAAUGCUAAAUACAGAAGAAUAGUGCCAGCCCCACAUAAAACACACAGUUAAAAAAAUGUUAGGUAAGCAAUAUAAAUGUUGUAACAAGCUUAAAACUAAGACCUGAUAUAAUUCUAGACAGGUAUAUAUACCCAGGUCUUGAACAAUGUUACCACAAUUCACUUAAUAUUAACUAGAAGCUUAUUAUUAAAAUAGCCUAUUAAAAGCAAGCAUUUGCCAAUUCAUUACAAGUUUUCUUAAAAGGCUAAUUUUACUUCACUUGUGGUUAUUAGCACAGUUACAGGACCAUUCCAACUUAGAGAAGCAAAAAUAUAAUUAAUACUCUGUAAACCAUCAGUACCAUUUCCCCUCCUACUGACACAAAAAAUUCCAACCGUAUUACUUCUUGAAUCACUCUAAAGCUGAAAGUAAUUUCAGAGUGAUCUGAGAGCAGUUUUUGAAGAAGCAUAUGAGCCUCGAACUUCAAUUUUGCUUACAGUGGUUUGAGAGCAGAAAAAUCAGAGAAUAAACAUGAAAUACGGAGUACAAAGUCUACAUACAUAUCAACUGUUACAAUGUUAUGGUUUUGUCUUUGCAAUUCAAUCCAAAUCCAGUUUAAAUAGGAAAUAAUCAAUCAACCCAAUAACAAAAACAAAAUGGAAAACUUAACAUUCAGCAGUUAUAGAAAUUCAGACAGAUUAAGAUUGGGACAAUGUAUCACCUAGAAAUACAUUACUAAUUAUCAGUUAAAAAAUCCUGCCUAACAAGUCAGGACUCAUGCUGAUGAGGUUACAUUACUAUUCUGUUUGUACACAUUAAUUUUUCUAAAAGUCAAUCUAUUGUGUUCUCAGUUUUUUUGACUAAUACAGGUUAGACACUUGUCUUAAACCCAUUGUUAUAUUUUAUAUUUACAGGCUUUCUAUGAGCAAAGGCAAGAUGUUCCAAGGAAGCAUUCAGUUUAUAUAGUAAUUCAGGAGAAUGGAUUGUCAAUGUACAUGAAGUCUUACUCAAGUGAAGGCACAAAAAUCUUGCAACAAUUUGAUUUUAAAUCAUGAAGUGUACAAACAGAAGUGUAAAUACCUGAUAUGGUACAACUAAACUUUUUUAAGUUUUGCUGUUAUAAACAUAUUUUGUAAGUGAUUCCAAUUUAACCCAUCUCUAUAAAUGUAAUACAGAACAAACAGAAUUUCACUGUUCACAAAAGUUUUCACAAUGGACCCUUAGAAUCCUUCUGAACUAGACGUGUAACACUUUGGAAAAAAUGCCAGUACAGUAUCACAGUCAUGACUAUAGGUACACAAUAAGGAGAAAUAUAGGUGCCAUUCAUAGGGUGCAGGCACAGAGGUAACUUCAUGUUUUCUGGCAAAACACAGUAAUAUGUGGAAUAACUCGUUUCAGCACUGUUGAUAUUUAUUAAAUGACUGAGUGUUAAAUCAGUUUAUGAAUAUUAUUCAAUGUAAAAAAUGAAACAAAAAAUGUAUGGGAACACACAUCUUGGUGAAAAUGAAACAUACAAACCAGGAGAUAACUCUGUUUCUUUUAUGUGUGUGUGUAUAAAUAUAUAAAAACAAAACUACAAUAAAGAUCUUCUUCAUUAAGACAGCAACAAGACAAACUGUUUACAACUUAA